UACAUGGGGUGCAAACGUUGCUCGGAAUUAUUUGGGCGUAAAGCGCACGUAGGCGGUUUGUUUAAGUCGGAUGUGAAAGCCCUCGGCUCAACUGAGGAAGUGCACCCGAAACUGGCAGGCUUGAGUACUAAAAGAGGGUCGCGGAAUUUCCCGGUGUAGAGGUGAAAUUCGUAGAUAUCGGGAGGAACACCGGUGGCGAAGGCGGCGACCUGGGUAGAUACUGACGCUGAGGUGCGAAAGCGUGGGGAGCAAACAGG
rnacentral:rRNA from 1 species